rnacentral:rRNA from 1 species
UUCAACAGGGGUGAAAUCUGUAUACACCAUGAAUUUUUUGAUUAAAGUACCUUUUAGGUGGUCAAAUGACUAGGAUUAGAUACCCUAUUAGUCCACUCUUAAUUAACCUGGGUAGUAGUAUCGAAACCUAAAGAAUUUGGCGGUUUCUAAACCUACUAGAGGAACCUGCCCCAUAAACGACAAUCCACGAAAAAAUUCACCCGGGCUAGUUAUGCAGCUUAUAUACCGUCGUUCAGAGGACUAAAUAAAUAGAUCCUCUUAAAAGCUUAGGCUAAUAAAUCAGAUAAAGGUGUAGCUUAUGCCCGGGAGAGGGUGGGUUACAAUGAAAAUUCAUACGGAACUUCUAUUUUAUGAUAGAAAAGAAGGUGGAUUUAGAAGUAAGACUUAAUAUACUGAAAAGGGCUCUCAGAAAUGUACAC